AACGCACAUUGCGCCCCCUGGUAUUCUGGGGGGCACGCCUGUCCGAGCGUCAUUUACUCCCUUCAAGCUUAGCUUGUCAUGGCCCGCAAGUCCCCGUGUCCACUGACGCGAUGGGACCCGGCCGAAAUAUCUAGCGCCCGAACCACAAGGACGGUGUCUCUGGGAACACAGUACACCCUGCUCUGAGUGGCUUGCAUGGGUUGCAACAUGGUGCCUGUAGUAAGGCUCAACACGAUUGACCUCGGAUCAGGCGGGGAAACCCGCUGAACUUAA
rnacentral:misc_RNA from 1 species